rnacentral:rRNA from 1 species
CUACGGGGUGCACCAGUGAGGAAUAUUGCACAAUGGGGGGAACCCUGAUGCAGCAACGCCGCGUGGAGGAUGACACAUUUCGGUGUGUAAACUCCUUUUAUAUGUCAAGAAAAUGACGGUGGCAUAUGAAUAAGCACCGGCUAACUCCGUGCCAGCAGCCGCGGUAAUACGAAGGGUGCAAGCGUUACUCGGAAUCACUGGGCGUAAAGGACGCGUAGGCGGGUUGGAAAGUCAGGUGUGAAAUCCUACAGCUUAACUGUAGAACUGCACUUGAAACUUCUAAUCUAGAGUAUGGGAGGGGGAGAUGGAAUUAGUGGUGUAGGGGUAAAAUCCGUAGAUAUCACUAGGAAUACCUAAAGCGAAGGCGAUCUCCUGGAACAUUACUGACGCUAAGGCGUGAAAGCGUGGGGAGCAAACAGGAUUAGAUACCCGCGUAGUC